rnacentral:rRNA from 1 species
UACUAAGAACUUUCCAGAGAUGGAUUGGUGCCUUCGGGAACUUGGAUACAGGUGCUGCAUGGCUGUCGUCAGCUCGUGUCGUGAGAUGUUGGGUUAAGUCCCGCAACGAGCGCAACCCUUUUCCUUAUUUGCCAGCGGGUCAUGCCGGGAACUUUAAGGAUACUGCCAGUGACAAACUGGAGGAAGGCGGGGACGACGUCAAGUCAUCAUGGCCCUUACGGCCAGGGCUACACACGUGCUACAAUGGUCGGUACAAAGGGUUGCUACCUCGCGAGAGGAUGCUAAUCUCAAAAAGCCGAUCGUAGUCCGGAUCGCAGUCUGCAACUCGACUGCGUGAAGUCGGAAUCGCUAGUAAUCGCGGAUCAGAAUGCCGCGGUGAAUACGUUCCCGGGCCUUGUACACACCGCCCGUCACACCAUGGGAGUUUGUUGCACCAGAAGUAGGUAGUCUAACCGCAAGGAGGACGCUUACCACGGUGUGGCCGAUGACUGGGGUGAAGUCGUAACAAGGUAAGCGUAGAUGA